rnacentral:rRNA from 1 species
GACGAACGCUGGCGGCGUGCUUAACACAUGCGAGUCGAACGGAAAGGCCCCUUUGGGGGUACUCGAGUGGCGAACGGGUGAGUAACACGUGAGUAACCUGCCCUUGACUUCGGGAUAACUUCAGGAAACUGGGGCUAAUACCGGAUAGGAAUCCUUGCUGCAUGGUGGGGGUUGGAAAGCUUCGGCGGUUUUGGAUGGACUCGCGGCUUAUCAGCUUGUUGGUGGGGUAGUGGCUUACCAAGGCUUUGACGGGUAGCCGGCCUGAGAGGGCGACCGGCCACAUUGGGACUGAGGUACGGCCCAGACUCCUACGGGGGGCAACAGUGGGGAAUAUUGCACAAUGGGCGGAAGCCUGAUGCAGCAACGCCGCGUGCGGGAUGACGGCCUUCGGGUUGUAAACCGCUUUCAGCAGGGGCGAAGCUUGUGGUGACGGUACCUGCAGAAGAAGCACCGGCUAACUACGUG